ensembl:snoRNA SNORA70 Small nucleolar RNA SNORA70
UUGCAGCUUAUUAAGCCGACCAGACUGGGUGUUGUACAGCUCUGGUGUGCAAUGGCUGCGUACAUUGAUCCUCUCUGGUAUUGUAUGUUACCAGCUCAAAAGUGCUGGUUAUGCCAAGGGACCUUUGAGACAGAC